UAUUAAAAAUUCUAUCCAUUUGUACUAUUACAAACUAGCGUGGCUAACAAAAUAACUUGACAGUGACAUAUGGCAUGCCAUGUGUACCUCAUGCUGACAUACAUGACCAAUUUUUAAUAGUAAAAAUGGAUAGAAUUUUUAACA
rfam:Gossypium hirsutum cultivar TM-1 chromosome 8, whole genome shotgun sequence